CGAAACCGAGUGAUCUAGCCAUGGGCAGGUUGAAGGUUGAGUAACAUCAACUGGAGGACCGAACCGACUAAUGUUGAAAAAUUAGCGGAUGACUUGUGGCUAGGGGUGAAAGGCCAAUCAAACUCGGAGAUAGCUGGUUCUCCCCGAAAGCUAUUUAGGUAGCGCCUCGGACGAAUACUACUGGGGGUAGAGCACUGUUAAGGCUAGGGGGUCAUCCCGACUUACCAACCCUUUGCAAACUCCGAAUACCAGUAAGUACUAUCCGGGAGACACACGGCGGGUGCUAACGUCCGUCGUGGAGAGGGAAACAACCCAGACCGCCAGCUAAGGUCCCAAAUUACAGCUAAGUGGGAAACGAUGUGGGAAGGCUUAGACAGCUAGGAUGUUGGCUUAGAAGCAGCCAUCAUUUAAAGAAAGCGUAAUAGCUCACUAGUCGAGUCGGCCUGCGCGGAAGAUGUAACGGGGCUAAGUUGUAAACCGAAGCUGCGGCAAUGUUCUAUGAACAUUGGGUAGGGGAGCGUUCUGUAAGCCGUUGAAGGUGUGUUGUAAAGCAUGCUGGAGGUAUCAGAAGUGCGAAUGCUGACAUGAGUAACGACAAGGGGGGUGAAAAACCUCCCCGCCGGAAGACCAAGGGUUCCUGUCCAACGUUAAUCGGGGCAGGGUAAGUCGACCCCUAAGGCGAGGCUGAAAAGCGUAGUCGAUGGGAAACGGGUUAAUAUUCCCGUACUUCUUACAAUUGCGAUGGGGGGACGGAGAAGGCUAGGUGGGCCUGGCGACGGUUGUCCAGGUUCAAGUGCGUAGGCUGAGUGUUUAGGUAAAUCCGGACACUCUUAAGGCUGAGACACGACGUCGAGCUACUACGGUAGUGAAGUCAUUGAUGCCAUGCUUCCAGGAAAAGCCUCUAAGCUUCAGAUUGUAAGGAAUCGUACCCCAAACCGACACAGGUGGUCGGGUAGAGAAUACCAAGGCGCUUGAGAGAACUCGGGUGAAGGAACUAGGCAAAAUGGUACCGUAACUUCGGGAGAAGGUACGCUCUUGAUGGUGAAGUCCCUUGCGGAUGGAGCUGACGAGAGUCGCAGAUACCAGGUGGCUGCAACUGUUUAUUAAAAACACAGCACUGUGCAAAAUCGUAAGAUGACGUAUACGGUGUGACGCCUGCCCGGUGCCGGAAGGUUAAUUGAUGGGGUUAGCGUAAGCGAAGCUCUUGAUCGAAGCCCCGGUAAACGGCGGCCGUAACUAUAACGGUCCUAAGGUAGCGAAAUUCCUUGUCGGGUAAGUUCCGACCUGCACGAAUGGCGUAAUGAUGGCCACGCUGUCUCCACCCGAGACUCAGUGAAAUUGAAAUCGCUGUGAAGAUGCAGUGUACCCGCGGCUAGACGGAAAGACCCCGUGAACCUUUACUACAGCUUGGCACUGAACAUUGAACCUACAUGUGUAGGAUAGGUGGGAGGCUUUGAAGACGUGACGCCAGUUGCGUUGGAGCCGUCCUUGAAAUACCACCCUUGUAUGUUUGAUGUUCUAACGUUGGCCCCUAAUCGGGGUUGCGGACAGUGCCUGGUGGGUAGUUUGACUGGGGCGGUCUCCUCCCAAAGAGUAACGGAGGAGCACGAAGGUGGGCUAAUCACGGUUGGACAUCGUGAGGUUAGUGCAAUGGCAUAAGCCCGCUUAACUGCGAGAAUGACGGUUCGAGCAGGUGCGAAAGCAGGUCAUAGUGAUCCGGUGGUUCUGAAUGGAAGGGCCAUCGCUCAACGGAUAAAAGGUACUCCGGGGAUAACAGGCUGAUACCGCCCAAGAGUUCAUAUCGACGGCGGUGUUUGGCACCUCGAUGUCGGCUCAUCACAUCCUGGGGCUGAAGUCGGUCCCAAGGGUAUGGCUGUUCGCCAUUUAAAGUGGUACGCGAGCUGGGUUUAGAACGUCGUGAGACAGUUCGGUCCCUAUCUGCCGUGGGCGUUGGAAGAUUGAAGGGGGCUGCUCCUAGUACGAGAGGACCGGAGUGGACGAACCUCUGGUGUUCGGGUUGUGUCGCCAGACGCAUUGCCCGGUAGCUAAGUUCGGAAUCGAUAACCGCUGAAAGCAUCUAAGCGGGAAGCGAGCCCUGAGAUGAGUCUU
rnacentral:rRNA from 1 species